rnacentral:rRNA from 1 species
GGGAUCUCGAGAGGAUGACCCCCCAAAAUUGGGAACUGAAACACGGGUCCCAGACUCCUCACGGGAGGCAGCAAGUGGGGGAAUUUUGCGCAAUGGGGGAAACCCUGACGCAGCAACGCCGCGUGGAGGAUCGAAAUAUCUUGGUAUGUAAACUCCUUUCGAUGGGGAAGAUUAUGACGGUACCCAUAGAAAGAAGCCCCGGUAAUUCGUGCCAA